UACGAAGGGGGCUAGCGUUGCUCGGAAUUACUGGGCGUAAAGCGCACGUAGGCGGUUUCUUAAGUCGGUGGUGAAAUCCUGGAGCUCAACUCCAGAACUGCCUUCGAUACUGGGAAACUUGAGUUCGGGAGAGGUGAGUGGAACUGCGAGUGUAGAGGUGAAAUUCGUAGAUAUUCGCAAGAACACCAGUGGCGAAGGCGGCUCACUGGCCCGAUACUGACGCUGAGACGCGAAAGCGUGGGGAGCGAACAGG
rnacentral:rRNA from 1 species